GAUGAACGCUGGCGGCGUGCCUAAUACAUGCAAGUCGAACGCUGGAGAUCUAGCUUGCUAGAUCGAAGGAGUGGCGAACGGGUGAGUAAUACAUAAGCAACCUACCCACGAAGACUGGGAUAAUCUCUGGAAACGGGGACUAAUACCGGAUAGGUAAUCGGAAGGCAUCUUCUGGUUAUUAAAUGUUAAAAACACUGGUGGAUGGGGUUAUGGCGCAUUAGUUUGUUGGUGAGGUAACGGCCCACCAAGACGAUGAUGCGUAGCCGGCCUGAGAGGGUGAACGGCCACAUUGGGACUGAGACACGGCCCAGACUCCUACGGGAGGCAGCAGUAGGGAAUUUUCGGCAAUGGGGGCAACCCUGACCGAGCAACGCCGCGUGAGUGAAGACGGCCUUCGGGUUGUAAAGCUCUGUUGUAAGGGAAGAACGGUAGAUAGAGAAUAUCUAAGUGACGGUACCUUACCAGAAAGCCACGGCUAACUACGUG
rnacentral:rRNA from 1 species